UGAGAGGUGCUGGACCCUCUCGGCGCCUCUCACCGUCCUCACGUCCUCUCCUCCGUCGGCCCCCAGAUCCUCCUCCAUCCACCAUGUGCGACGAUGUAGACACAACUGCCCUUGUGGUUGAUAAUGGUUCCGGUAUGUGCAAGGCCGGCUUCGCUGGAGACGACGCCCCUCGCGCCGUCUUCCCCUCCAUCGUCGGCCGCCCCCGCCACCAGGGUGUGAUGGUAGGCAUGGGUCAGAAGGACGCGUACGUCGGUGAUGAGGCCCAGAGCAAGAGAGGUAUCCUGACUCUUAAGUACCCCAUCGAGCACGGAAUCAUCACCAACUGGGACGACAUGGAGAAGAUCUGGCAUCACACUUUCUACAACGAACUCCGCGUUGCCCCAGAAGAGCACCCAGUUCUUCUCACAGAGGCUCCCCUCAACCCCAAGGCCAACCGCGAGAAAAUGACCCAGAUCAUGUUCGAGACUUUCAAUACACCCGCCAUGUACGUAGCCAUCCAGGCCGUGCUGUCCCUGUACGCCUCUGGUCGUACCACUGGCAUUGUGCUCGACACUGGUGAUGGUGUGACCCACACUGUCCCCAUCUACGAAGGAUAUGCUCUUCCUCACGCCAUCCUUCGUCUCGACCUGGCUGGUCGUGACCUGACAGCGUAUCUGAUGAAAAUCCUUACAGAGCGUGGCUACUCCUUCACCACCACCGCUGAACGGGAAAUCGUACGCGAUAUUAAGGAAAAACUUUGCUAUGUUGCUCUUGAUUUUGAAAGUGAGAUGAAUAUUGCAGCAUCUUCAUCUACCUUGGAAAAAUCCUACGAGCUUCCCGACGGUCAGGUCAUCACCAUCGGAAACGAGCGCUUCCGUUGCCCAGAGUCUCUGUUCCAGCCUUCCUUCCUGGGUAUGGAAUCUGUUGGCAUCCACGAGACCGUGUACAAUUCCAUCAUGAGGUGCGACAUUGAUAUCAGGAAGGACCUCUUCGCCAAUAACGUUUUGUCUGGUGGCACAUCAAUGUAUCCUGGCAUUGCUGACCGCAUGCAGAAGGAAAUCACUGCCCUUGCUCCUUCCACCAUCAAGAUCAAGAUCAUUGCUCCUCCUGAGCGUAAAUACUCCGUAUGGAUCGGUGGUUCCAUCUUGUCUUCCCUCUCCACCUUCCAGGCUAUGUGGAUCACCAAGGAGGAGUAUGAUGAGUCCGGGCCCCGGCAUCGUACAUCGCAAGUGCUUCUAAAUUUCAUGUCAUAUAGUUUUUGUGGUUUUAUAACUUUGCAAAUAGCAAGUUUCAGGCUACUCUUCAGGGUGUGCCUGCGGUCCUUGUCAACCUUUGGUUGCUGGAAGCUGGAUUUCGUAAGAAUUGUUAAGCAAAUAUAC